rnacentral:lncRNA from 1 species
UUUUUACAUUCCUGUUGUAUUUUUUCAUACAUAAUAACUCCUGUUGAAUACCUUGAUUGUUUUGAGUCAAACAGACAUAUUUUGAAGAUACAGCUUCCAGCUCUGCUGUAAGAUCAUCAAACUACAUUAAUAAAAUAAUAUAGCUUGAAAAUGAAGUAGGCUGAGAAUAAUCUCAUACAAAACCAAUAACAAAUUUUGAAAUACAUUUACUUGCAAUAAAAUGUUAUCUAUAAUGUAGAUUCUUUAAAUGUUAACCCUUAAAUUACUCAGAAAUUCAAGAACAAAGUAAAAGCCACCAUAAGUCACAUAUAUUCUUUACUAUCAUCAUCUUUGCCACAGAACUUUUGCACUUGAUCUUUCUUUUAUUUUUCUGAUAAUUUGUGUCUGUUCCUCCUUAAAUGGCUCUACGUUAACUCUUAUUAGAAAGUUUCAAACCCCUUUCUCUCAUCAUCAUGCCCCAAAAUUUGUCAAAAAAAGUUUCAGAGAUAUAAUAUUGAGUUAUUUAGGCCAAAGUCAAUAAAUGGCUCUUAGAAUAAGACUUUGAAAAUAAUGUAAUACUCUAUGCUAGGCAUGGUGGCUCAUGCCUGUAAUCCCAGCACUAUAGGAGGCUGUGGCAGAAAGAUUACUUGAGGCCAGGAAUUUGAAACCAGCCAGAGCAACAUAGUGAUAACAUAAUCUCGACAAAAAAAAUUUUUUUUUUAAAUUAGCCAGCCAUGGUGACUUAUGCUUGUAGAUCCAGCUAGUUGGGAGACUAAGGCACAAGGAUGGCUUGGACUCAGAGUUCAGGGCUGCAGUGAAUUAUGACCAAGCCACUCCACUUCUGCCUGGAUGACAGACAGAGACCAUAUCUCAAAAAAACACAAAAUAAUCCUAUAAAUAAGGAUUCUAAUGCCAUAAGCCUUUCCCUAGGCUGUAAAUGUUUUAUGCUAAUUUGAAUUGCAUUUUUAAAAGUAAUGACUCUUGGGGUAGAGGCCAUAGAAUACAGCACCCAGAUAUAAAUCCACAUAUUUGCCUUACAAGAAAUAAAUCCACAUUCUUACAAGAGCUCCUGAAGGAAGCACUAAACAUGGAAAGGGACAAACAGUAUGAGCCACUGCAAAAACAUACCAAAUUGUAAUGACCAUCGACACUAUAAAGAAACUGCAUUAACUAAUGGGAAAAAUAAACACCUAACAACAUCAUGACAGGAUAAAUUUCACAUGUAACAAUAUUAACCUUAAACGUAACUGGGCUAAAUGCCCCAGUAAAAAGACACAGACUGGCAAGUUGGAAAAAGACUCAAGACCCAUUGGUGUACUGUAUUCAGGAGACCCAUCUCACAUGCAAAGACACACACAGGCUCAAAAUAAAGGGAUGGAGGAAUAUUUACCAAGAAAAUGAAAAGGAAAAAAAAAAAGGGGGUUGCAAUCCUAGUCUCUGAUAAAACAAACUUUAAAUGGAAAAGAUCAAAAGAGACAAAGAAGGGCAUUACAAAGCAGUGCCAUCUGCUUUUCCUCAGGACUCUGCUCCAUCAGCCAUCAGGUGGCAGCCAUUCAGGCUGUUGGAACCUGGCCAUCCAUGCUUCUCUGAGUGGGUGAAGUUAAAGGCUGGUCCAACUGCAUGAGGAGCAUGCUUGCAGAGGUGGCUGCUUGCUCUUUGAGCCAGCUUGGCCUUGCCUGGCAUGCACAGGCCCCAGCUACUGACACGCUGCUCUGAGUAAGCUUGUCCUGCCUGGGGCCAAAUUCUAAGUCUGGCCAGGGCCACAGAAAGGCGAGUCCCCUGGGUGGUAAUCCUGACUUUUUUCUGCACUUGAACAUAAAGUCCUCCUCAAGACGGCCUGUGGUCUGCCUCUUGGCAACCAAGAAGCCUGCAGUGCCAUAUAAGCUCAGAGGCAUGGACUAGAGCCCCAAAGGCAGUGAACACCCUGCUCCUGAGCCUGCUGCUAAUUCCCUGUGUGUGGCUCCAUUUGCACAGCUGUUGUACUGAGGCUUGUGCAUACCGAGCGAAGCCAAGCUGGCUCAAAGAG